GCCAGGCUUUCCUUGUAUUUUUCCAGCCUAUGCAUUUUAUUAUACACUCGGUAUGUCAUGGAAUGUUAUUUGGUUGGCUUAAUUGCCAGUAAACCUUAUACAACUUUCAACAACGGAUCUCUUGGCUCUCGCAUCGAUGAAGAACGCAGCGAAAUGCGAUAAGUAAUGUGAAUUGCAGAAUUCAGUGAAUCAUCGAAUCUUUGAACGCACCUUGCGCUCCUUGGUAUUCCGAGGAGCAUGCCUGUUUGAGU
rnacentral:rRNA from 1 species